rnacentral:misc_RNA from 1 species
UAACACCAAAACAAGAUGCUGCUGUUUCUAUGGGUUUUACUCACUUCCUUCCAUUGUUCCCUAAGUGAAGAUAUCACAUACCAUGUUAAAGAAGAGAAUAGUCCCUAUACCUAUAUAGGGGACAUUGCUACCGACUUACAGAAAUCAGACAGCUCCUUCUUAAAGAAUAAGGAUUUAAUUACAUUUAGUCAACUGCAACAAAAGGGAGAACAGUUGUUCAAUGUGACGAGAACAGGUAAACUGUACACUGUUGAGACAUUGGAUGCUGAGUCUGUGUGUAGUUAUGAGAAAGAAUGUUUUGAAAUCGUUAAAGUUGCUGUUCACAAAUCCAAGACAUUUAUGAAGAUCUUAAAGAUUAAAGUCAUAAUAGAAGACAUCAAUGACCACCAACCUGAGUUUCCUCAGAAAGAAAUCACACUUUACUUUGGGGAAGGAGACAGAGAUGGAAUGAAGAAACACAUACCUAAUGCUAUUGACAAAGAUAUGAGUCCAAAAAACAGCUUAAUUACUUAUGAACUGAAAAAGGAUAAUGGACAUUUUUCCUUAUCAGUUUCAAAAGAAACAGAUGAGAUAUCAGCAUUAGGAAUUAUUUUAGAAGAGAAAUUAGACAGAGAAAAGAAGGACAGUUACAAUAUUGAAGUCAUUGCUAAAGAUGGGGGAACUCCACCAAAACAAUCUGUUUUAAAUGUUAAAAUAUCUGUGGAAGAUGAAAAUGAUAAUAAACCACAAUUUUCUGAACGUAUCUACAAUGUCUCUAUUGAACAUAAGCAUAAAAAGAAUAUUCCUGUAGUCACAUUAUCUGCCAGUGAUUUAGAUAUUGGCAGGAAUGGUAAAAUAUCAUAUUAUUUUGCAAGGAAAACUGCUGAGAAAAUGAAGAGACAUUUUAAUUUAGAUGAAAAUACUGGAAAAUUACAUUUAGCUACAUCUUCAAAAAUUGAUAAGGAUGAGUCUUUUAAAUUAUACAUUGAAGCCAGAGAUGAUGGCGCAUCUCCUUUGAGUUCCAUAGCCACUGUUUUGGUAAAUGUUAUCAAUGAACACAACAAUCCCCCAAAUAUUGAUGUGAACUUUAUUUCUACACAGAAUCACAACACAGCUACCAUUCUGGAAGACAUCAAAGUUGGUAGUUUCAUUGCUUAUGUGAUGGUCACUGACAAUGAUGUUGGACACAAUGGAGAGGUGAACUGUCAUAUCAAAGAUGACACAUUCAAACUACAGUCAAUGGGAUCGAAGGAAUAUAAAAUAGUUCUAAAGAAAGCAGUAGACAGAGAGACACAGGAACAUUAUCACUUUACUGUGUCGUGUGAAGAUAAAGGAUUACCUGCUCUGAAAACUGAUAAAGAUCUGUCAAUCCAAGUGUUGGAUGUGAAUGAUGUAGAACCACACUUUACGAAAGACACAUUCAAGUUCCUUACCUAUGAGAAUGACAAAGCUAAUUUCCCUAUUGGCUUUAUCAAUGCUACAGACCCAGAUAUUGGUAAGGGAGGUGAAUUGUCUUAUUCUCUGAGAAAUAAACAGCAAUAUCGUCUGCCAUUCCAGAUUAUCAACUCUGGCUUUAUUUCAACAAACCAGUCUUUAGACAGAGAACAUAGAGAUUUCUAUGAGUUUGAGGUUUUUGUGAAAGACAAUGGAAGCCCAUCUCUGAAUAACACAGUGAAUGUUGAAGUGGAAGUAUUGGAUAGAAAUGAUAAUGCUCCAUAUUUUACAUUUCCUAGUGUUGACCCUUUCACUCUUAAUGUCCACUAUCAUCCACAAAGUAAGAACGACAUCACAGUUCUGAAAGCAUCUGAUAUAGACAGUCACAUGAAUGCUUUUCUCAGGUACGAAAUCGUUUCAGGUAACGAGAGACAGUUAUUUAAACUGGAUUCGUUCACUGGUGUGUUAUCUUACUCUCGCACAGUUUACCAAAAUGAUGCCGGAUCAUAUGAGCUUGAGUUUGUUGUGAAAGACAGUGGUACUCCAGUUCUGUCAGCAACAACUAGUGUGUCUUUGACACUGAGUGUUAGUAACAAGACGUCACCAAUGUUCACAGCUGUGCACCUACCAAGUGAUAACACAAUAGAUGCGACAUUGUUGAUUAUCAUUGUAGUAGCAGCUGUGAUAGUAUCUAUAGCUAUUGUGGUUUCUAUAACCCUGUGUAUUGUGAGAUGUAACAAUGUGAGAAAUAGCUCAUCUGAAAGAACAGCAGAAGAGAAACAGGCAUACCAAUGUCGCAAUGAGAUGAGACAGUUGAUCUAUCAAGGUAACAACAGUGUACCUGUGAUGUCAGGUAAUCGAGGAGAGAUGUCAGACAGAUAUGGUCAUACGAGGAGCCAUUACUAUCCUGAAGACUGGAAGACAUCAACAAUGAGCAGAACACUUCAGAAGUCUACAAAGAAAUACAGUCAACCCAUUGAGGUGACAUCUUAUGGAGACAACAGACCAUCUUCUCACUAUCCCACUGACACACUGACCAGUCGUAAGAGCAGUGGACAGUGCUGGAGUGAGCGGUCAAGUAGACAGUAUGAAGAAAUACCAGCAAUGUCAGGAAUCUAUGGUGGUGCCCCACCUGAUGUAUCAGGCACCAGUGAGAGAGACCAUUACCAAGACAGAUAUGUGAAACCUCCAGAGAGACAGUUACCUUCAACACCAGAUGUUGUUGUCAGUUAAGUGAGACUGAGAAAGGAACACAACAGAAAUAAUAUCACCUUCAACAUUCACACAACAUUUAAAAGCAACACAAAUAUUUUAGUUAGAUAAUAAUAUUAUCUGCAUAUAAUUGGAUAUAUUCUUGUGUGUGUGUAUAUAUAUAUAUGGGAUAUUUCCUUAGAAGACUAAUUUAGCAGCUUUGGAUAUGAACAAUUUCAAUCAAAUUCUAACACUUUAAUUGCAUAGGCAAAAGAAAUAUUUUAAGAAUUUAAAAAUAAAAACUCAGACGAGGAAAAUAAAAUCUAAAAUUUAAACAGUUUGUUAAAUUAUGAUAAAUAAUUUUCAUAUAGAUAUACUUUCCCUGUUUACAUAUCUUGUUUAAAUUUUCCAAAUCUAUACUGAAUAAGAGAGUUAGUUUAGAAUAGGUCAGACACACACACUAACUGUUAUUGUCAAUAUUGUAUUUACAUUUUAAAUUACACACACAUUAACAACAUCAGCCAUAUUUUGUUAAUAUAACCUCUCUGUUCUAAGGAUUUCUAUGUCAGUCUCUCUCCACAUCAGACAUGUUGGUGUUAUAUAGACUUAUCAUGGCUGACUGUUAGUGGAGCUGAUUGUGUAUCUUUUCCUUGCCUUUGAGAGGGAAACUGCAUCUAGUUGGAAUGAGGCUGAAGUAAGCAUCACCCAUCUCCCCCCUCUCUCUCUCCCUCUCUCACACACACAUAUACACUAAACAUCACCCAUCCUACUCCCUCUCCUUUUCUAAGUGUAUAUUACACACUCACUAAACAUCACACAUCCACAAAGGAAGACUGAGAGGGAACUGCUGGUUCCCACUGACUCACCACCAACACUAUUCCAUCAACAUGAAGCCAUUGUCACACCAUAGCAGCAGUGACACAGA